UAAAGCUGAAUAUAAAAAUCGUAACAAGUACGAAUUAUGUGUGUACGUGUACGCACAGGUGUGCGACUGUGCGUACGUGUACACGUAUGUAUUAUGUCGUGCACAUCUCGCGACCCCACCUCGCCGUAACACACUGACGUCCCGCCUACCUUCGCCGUGCAACCAUGUCGUAUACCUCGAUUUCGUGAUUCGUCGCGCACCUUUUCGGCUCGUGGGUAUGAGACAGAUAUCAUAUCGUAGCAGUCAUGAGUUCCGAAGAUACAACUGAUAAUGCGACAGCUACUGCGGCAGCUAAUCCUAGUAUAGCUAUGGAGAAUUGGGUCCAAUUUGAAGAUGAAACGGGUCCAAAAAACACUACAGAUAUAGAAAAAAAAGCCAACAGUAGCGCUGCUACUGUAAUAAAGCCUGAGUCGGUUACAGUGCAAAUCGACAAAAUUAAUAAAAGUAUUGAUCCACCUGAUAUUAAUGAUAAGAAAACUAAUGAGUAUAAGGGUGCUGUGAUAGCAACCGAAUCCGUCCAGAUUAAUUUAGAUAGAUCAGGUUUAAGUCGUUCCAUCACAUCCGAUAUUCCGGACCUUAAAUUACCAUCUGACGUUAGAACGUCGGAAGCCAAGAGUGCUUCUUUAAAAACUAUUGAUCUAAGAGAUGUGUCUAACGGUAGAAAUACAUCGAGCAAUGUUGUCAGUACAUCUAUCGGAAACAUUAGACAGGGUUUUGCCAAUGGUGAUACUAUCGUUACUCUUUUACCAGUAAAUACUAAAUGGCCAUGGAUUACUCCAGCUAAGUUUAGACCAGAAUUAGUACCAGAGGAAUUGAUGGCACAAGGAUUAACGCUCACAGUGGAAGAUUAUGUUCACGUAAUGGAGUUACUUGUCAAUGAUGUGCGCUUCAAUAUGUAUAACAUAUGCUACAAGAGGAUUCUUGUCCUUUGGAUAUUCACCGCCUUUGUUGUACUGCUUGGUCUGCUGUUCUCCGGUGUAACUGGUCUUACUUUAUUCGGGCUCGGUAUCAUGUGGCUGGUCUUGAACGCGGCUGCAAUAUUCUUUUGCAUGUUUAUCAAGAUAAAACUCAAUCACAAUCUCGAGAAAUGUAUGGCUCAAGUCAACAAACAUUUAUUAAAACACAAAAUAUUACUGGGGCUAGAUGACAGAGGAAAGAUCUCCUGCCACAAAGUCAACUUGUGUUUCAUAUACUUUGAUACUACCGAUUGUGUUAAAAAACUACAAGAAAUAAUAGAGCGAGAAGAACGUGAAGGUAGAAUAAUUGGCGGUGGUGGUGAUGACGGAAGCGAGUUAAGCCGACAACGAGAAUUACAGCAGCGUAUGGACAUUGAUGACAGUGACAUUGUUAUACAAGGCAGCACUACCACGAGAAUCUCUCGUAAACAGGAACGGGCGGAGUUGCUGUUGCUGAGGUAUGCGUCUCGAUGGGCACGUCACUUUGUGCGCCGCAGACUUGAUCUGGUUAUAGACUCGCAGGAACGCGAUAGAAACAUGGGUUUGUCUGUUCCACCGCGCCAUUGUGUCUCCGCCCGUUGCCCUUGUCAAUUCAUUGAGGACCAUCUAAAACACAAGCCGAGAGGCAAGUUGACGUUACGCAAAUUCUUUCUAAUGCCAGACUUCACUGUCAAUUGAAUACUGCCAAUGGAGAUUGAUAUCAGUCUUAAGAAGGAUAUGCAAUGUUGAAACAUUUGGGCAAAACACUCGCCAUAUUAUGUCAACUAAGAUAAAAUUGUUCACCAUUCUAAAAGGGUAUCCACCAGGAUUUACAUGGUGUGCCUACCUUAAUGAACCUAUUCGGUUUGAUAUGGUACCAAGUAUACAUUAAAUAGUUUUUGUCUUUACAGACACCAUGUAGUACAGUAUUGGUUAAUGUUUAGAUUUAAAUUUAUAUAGAAAGAAAGAAGAGCUAUAUAUCAAAAUGGAACGUAUUGUUACAUAACAAGAGAAAAAGUUGUUUGUUAAUUUUGUUUGUAAAUCUUUUUUUGUUUUCAUACAAUGCAUUUUUUAGGUCUACUUAAAGUAAAGAUAGAAUUAUAUUGUUAUUACAGAUUUUAUAAGCGUAUAUAUUUUUUAUAAUUCAUAUUUUGAUAUUAUAAAGCAUAUCUGUUUUCAUCCUUGUCUACUUUUGUCUUUAUCAUUUUUCUCUACUAUUAUUAAUAUAUCGCACACAGAAAUAUAA